GAUGAAGAACGUAGCGAAACGCGAUAGGUAAUGUGAAUUGCAGAAUUCCGUGAAUCAUCGAAUCUUUGAACGCACAUUGCGCCCGUCAGUAUUCUGGCGGGCAUGCCUGUUCGAGCGUCAUUACGCCCCUCAAGUCCCCUGUGGACUUGGUGUUGGGGAUCGGCGAGGCUGGUUUUCCAGCACAGCCGUCCCUUAAAUUAAUUGGCGGUCUCGCCGUGGCCCUCCUCUGCGCAGUAGUAAAACACUCGCAACAGGAGCCCGGCGCGGUCCACUGCCGUAAAACCCCCCAACUUUUUAUAGUUGACCUCGAAUCAGGUAGGACUACCCGCUGAACUUAAGCAUAUCAAUAAGCGGAGGA
rnacentral:misc_RNA from 1 species